rnacentral:misc_RNA from 1 species
UAAUUUUCUCAUAUUUCUAAAAGAGUAUAAACUCAUGUGGAAUAUAUAGUAUAUAGAUCAAUGGUGGAGCUCUCUUCCAACCUAAAAAAAAAAAGGCUCCUCUUCUUAGCAUAUGGCAAAGCAGCAGCUGUAGUUCUCUCUAUAAUGUGUAAGUCAUAUAGUAUCUCCAUGGAUCAAAGAUUUCGCGAUAAUACUCAUAUACUGCAUCAUUUGGCAACUCGCGUUCCUUUGAUGGCAGAUGGAGAAGAAGUUUCAAGUUUCAACACCAGUCGUUUGCAGAGUCAAGGUAUAUCAAAUUUGAGCAAAAAGAAUUUCAUUCCAUGUAUCUGGAACACCUGGUAAGCACCAAUGUAGACAAUCCUGGACACCUGGUGUUGCUUUGAUGCUGUAUCGAGAUAUAUGACCUUCAUCUCUCAGCUGGGAUAAAGCAGUGAUGUCCAAAAGCUUAACGUCUGUUCCUCUAACAGCACGUGCUGCAUCAUAGUCACUUGAUUCGUCUUGUAAAACCUCCUUCCCUUCGGAAAGUGGUGUAGUGUUGUCACAUGUACCUCCUGUGUUCCAAUCUCCGUUAAAGAAAUGUCUGGGGGAUAUAGUCCGAUAGAAUGCUUUUACAUGAGGGUAUUUUGGCAGCUGUGAGUUCACCCAAUUGACAAUACUGUGGAUUGUGAAAUUCUUGGCACCACCUAUAGUCACAAUCUUCCGGUUUGUAUUAGGGACACCACCUACAUACAUGACCCAUCGAUUGGCCUUAAGCUUUCCUCUAUUCCAAUGGUGUCCUGUGUUUAGAACAAGGACAUCGAACCUUGGAAGGAAAUGACUCAAAAAUGCUGGAGGACGGUCCAGGUGCAUGGCGUAAUCAGUAGCAGGAUCAGAUGGAUUUAUAGGUGUCAAGUCACAGAGACUAGCAGACCAAUAAUAAAGAAUAGUUGUUUUGGUGUCUGGAAAUCGAAAAGCCCAUCCAUCAGGUCGACCAGAACCACGAGAUUGCACUAGACCAUAUUCAUGCCCCACAUCAAGAACAUUAGGUCUAUCUUUUCCACCACUAAUCAUACACAUAAGUGACUGAAAUUGCUGUCUACCAAGCGAAUCCCCGAUAAACGCCAGAGUUUUGUUUUGCAUCCUUUUCAGAAAUUUAACACCAGUAAAAUCUUCCAUCUCACAAUUUUUGGGUCGCCAACGUAACUUUUCAUAUUCAAAAUCUGUACGUUGUGUCAAGCGACAAGCCCACAUAGAUGACAACCAUUGCUUACAGCCAAAUCCAGAAUAUAAAGGUCGGCUAUCAUCUAUGACCCAUCUGCCUUUAGCAAAGUUGCAAUCUUGUCUUUCCGGGGUUGCUGUAAAAUUGUCACUAUGUUCACCCCCAGAACUCACAGCAGUGGAAACGUCAAUUUCCUGCUCUAUUAAACCAGUUUUUUUGUCUGAAACAUCUUUUGAAUCUCCUUUUUCAGUGAUAUUCGGAGCAAUACCUCCUCUUUCUUCAUGAGUAAUCAACUCUUCAGUCACCUUAAUCACCGGUGAAGAGUUUGCAUAAGUAGGAUAUUUUUCAGAUUCAAAGUUAACACUGUCUUGUGAUUGCUCCGAUCCGCUUCCUUCUCCCAAAGCUUCUUCAUCUUUCACUCUAAGAUCUGGAGAAAGCUGCAAGACAUGAUUCUGAGGUAGUACUGAAGAAGAAAGAAGUAGGCUCUUCACAUAUGCCAAAAGAAGAACAGAAGCACACACGAAUCCGAUCAGGAUGAGAGAGAUCUGUGACACCUUCAAACCUCCCUUCAUCCUUGAAGCUUAGGGAUGUUUGGACUUGAACUCAUUCCACCACAAUGGACAUUAUUUUUGCUUCAGAGUAACAUCUGUCAAUAAGUGAAAGUAAA